rnacentral:rRNA from 1 species
CCGGCACGGGUGAGUAACACGUAUCCAACCUGCCUCACUCUUGGACAGCCUUCUGAAAGGAAGAUUAAUACAAGAUGGCAUCAUGAGUCCGCAUGUUCACAUGAUUAAAGGUGUUCCGGUAGACGAUGGGGAUGCGUUCCAUUAGAUAGUAGGCGGGGUAACGGCCCACCUAGUCUUCGAUGGAUAGGGGUUCUGAGAGGAAGGUCCCCCACAUUGGAACUGAGACACGGUCCAA